UACGUGAGGGUGCAAGCGUUAAUCGGAAUUACUGGGCGUAAAGCGUGCGCAGGCGGUUAUGUAAGACAGUUGUGAAAUCCCCGGCUCAACCUGGGAACUGCAUCUGUGACUGCAUAGCUAGAGUACGGUAGAGGGGGAUGGAAUUCCGCGUGUAGCAGUGAAAUGCGUAGAUAUGCGGAGGAACACCGAUGGCGAAGGCAAUCCCCUGGACCUGUACUGACGCUCAUGCACGAAAGCGUGGGGAGCAAACAGG
rnacentral:rRNA from 1 species